rnacentral:pre_miRNA from 5 species
UCCUGUAACUUGGAACUGGAGAGGAGGCAAGAUGCUGGCAUAGCUGUUGAACUGCGAACCUGCUAUGCCAACAUAUUGCCAUCUCUCUUGUCCG